rnacentral:rRNA from 1 species
CGCAAGCCUGACGGAGCAAGACCGCGUGCGGGAUGACGGCCUAAUGGUUGUAAACCGCUUUUCUCUGGGAAGAUGAUGACGGUACCAGAGGAAUCAGCCUCGGCUAACUCCGUGCCAGCAGCCGCGGUAAUACGGAGGAGGCAAGCGUUAUCCGGAAUUAUUGGGCGUAAAGCGUCCGUAGGUGGUUAUUCAAGUCUGCUGUCAAAGCGUGGGGCUUAACUCCAUAGAGGCAGUGGAAACUGGAUGACUCGAGUGCGGUAGGGGUCGAGGGAAUUCCCAGUGUAGCGGUGAAAUGCGUAGAUAUUGGGAAGAACACCAGUGGCGAAAGCGCUCGACUGGGCCUGCACUGACACUGAGGGACGAAAGCUAGGGGAGCG